rnacentral:rRNA from 1 species
CCUACGUGAGGCAGCAGUGAGGAAUAUUGGUCAAUGGGCGCGAGCCUGAACCAGCCAAGUAGCGUGAAGGAUGACUGCCCUACGGGUUGUAAACUUCUUUUAUAAAGGAAUAAAGUGAGGCACGUGUGCCUUUUUGUAUGUACUUUAUGAAUAAGGAUCGGCUAACUCAGUGCCAGCAGCCGCGGUAAUACGGAGGAUCCGAGCGUUAUCCGGAUUUAUUGGGUUUAAAGGGAGCGUAGAUGGGUUGUUAAGUCAGUUGUGAAAGUUUGCGGCUUAACCGUAAAAUUGCAAUUGAUACUGGCUGACUUGAGUACAGUUGAGGUAGGCGGAAUUCGUGGUGUAGCGGUGAAAUGCUUAGAGAUCACGAAGAACUCCGAUUGCGAAGGCAGCUUACUAAACUGCCACUGACAUUGAUGCUCGAAAGUGUGGGUAUCAAACAGGAUUAGAUACCCUAGUAGUC